AUCCAGCUGACGAGUCCCAAAUAGGACCAAAGGCGCGUCCACCAU
rnacentral:hammerhead_ribozyme from 1 species